rnacentral:lncRNA from 1 species
CUGACACAAUAUUUAACGUGGUUCGGCAAACUGCCUACAUCCACGGGAGAAGCUAUUUGAUUAUAUAGGGAGAGAACAAGAUUUACAACAAUAGAGGAGGAGGAAUCAUCCCCUCUUUAGCAACUCUCAACCUCACUCUAUUUCUCUCUUCUCAGUGCUGCAAUGGCAGUUACUGCUGGCUGCCUUGACAGCCCACUCUCUCCUACAUUUCUCACAUUUUUGGC